AGGUAGUUGUUCGGCGCCGGCUGAGAUCAUCACGAAUAUUUCUGAAUAAUGUCAAUGAGAUCGUCUCCCCUUGCGGAUAAAUUACGAGGAUGGCAUAGGACCACGGCCGGGUGUAAGGGCUGAGAACGUCCAUUAUUUCCCUAGGAUUACUGUUUUCGUUUGGCUACUCUAUUUCAUAAAAGAUGGGAAACUGUUUCGGUGGUUCCGAUCACACCCCAGCUCCAAGAACCAACAAUGGAGGUGUGGAAACCCCUCAACGCACGAAACCAGCGUCGGAAAAUGGUGCUGUGAGCGUGUCGAGCACUGGGGGAUCAAUUGUGACAAAUGUGAACCAGUCGGCAGCAUCUCCGAUUGCAGCAUCUCCAAAACAUCAGUCAGAACAAUCGUUAGGAGAGCCUCUCUCCUCGAGUAAAAUAUUUGUUGCAUUAUACGACUACGACGCAAGGACUGAUGAAGAUUUGAGUUUUAGAAAAGGGGAACACUUAGAAAUUCUAGACGAUACCCAAGGGGACUGGUGGAAUGCUAGAUCCAAGAUUACUAAAAACAAGGGAUAUAUACCGUCCAAUUAUGUGGCCAAGUUAAAGAGUUUAGAAUCCGAACCAUGGUAUUUCGGUAAAAUCAAGAGAGUGGAAGCAGAGAAGAAGUUAUUAUCGCCAGAAAAUGAACACGGGGCAUAUUUAAUUCGUGACAGUGAAAGUAGAAGAAACGACUAUUCAUUAUCAGUUCGUGAUGGUGACACAGUAAAGCACUACAGAAUUCGUCAGCUGGAUGAGGGUGGUUUCUUCAUCGCUCGCCGUGUAACAUUCAGAUCUCUUUCGGAACUGGUCGACCAUUACAGUUCUGAUGCUGAUGGCCUCUGUGUCAACCUUAGGAAACCAUGCUCACAGGUGGAGAAGCCCCAGACUGUUGGUCUGUCCUACAACACCAAGGACCAGUGGGAGAUCCCCAAGAAUUCCCUGAAACUCAUCCGCAAGAUCGGCCACGGCCAGUUUGGUGAGGUGUGGGAAGGCUUGUGGAACAACACCACUCCUGUCGCCAUCAAGACUCUCAAACCAGGCACCAUGGACCCCAAGGACUUCCUGGCUGAGGCCCAGAUCAUGAAGAAGCUGAGACACUCCAAGCUGAUCCAGCUGUAUGCCGUCUGCACUCAAGAUGAGCCCAUCUACAUCGUCACCGAGCUCAUGAAGAAUGGCAGCCUGCUUGAAUACUUGCAGGGCAAGGGCCGAGUGCUGAAGCUGCCCCAGCUGAUUGAUAUUGCUGCCCAGAUUGCUUGUGGCAUGGCCUACCUUGAAUCACAGAACUACAUCCAUAGGGACCUGGCAGCCAGGAACAUCCUUGUUGGAGACUGCAACAACGUCAAGAUUGCUGACUUUGGUCUGGCCCGAGUUAUCAAGGAGGAUGAGUACGAGGCUAGAGUUGGAGCCCGCUUCCCCAUCAAGUGGACGGCACCCGAGGCCGCCAACUACAACAGGUUCACCAUCAAGUCCGACGUCUGGUCCUUCGGCAUCCUGCUCACCGAGAUCGUCACUUAUGGACGGGUGCCUUAUCCAGGAAUGACAAACGCCGAGGUUCUGCACCAGGUGGAACAUGGCUACCGCAUGCCCUGUCCACCCGGAUGCCCCAAGACAUUGUACGAUAUCAUGCUGGAGUGCUGGAGGAAGGACGAGCUGGAGCGACCCACUUUCGAAACACUGCAGUGGAAACUGGAGGAGUUCUUCCCCCUGUCAGUCGACCCCUCCGAGUACAAGGAGGCAUCGUAUGUGCGAUAAGAACACAGAUCGUAUGGACCAAACUUAAUCUCAAAUCCGCUCAAAUUUGUAUGAGGCUUGACAGGACAAUGCGUUGUGGGAUAUAUUCAGUGUGUCGGAGUUGAUUAUAGUUACAGCUUGUGAUGUCAAACUACGGUGAGCAGUGCUGUAAGAAGCUGAAACGUUGGUGUUUUAAGUGUGGAUCUGGACACAAAGAUGGUGUAAGGUGUAGUGAUAUUGUCUGUGAAUCAGUACAGUGACGAGACAUUGUUGAUUUUCAAUGGUGCUGAAGGAGACGAUUGUACAAUCAGUACUAUGUGCCAUUAUUGACACCCACACUUGCAUUGCAGCGGUUUCUCAUUGCGAUUCACAUUGCAGUGGUUUCACCUUGCAAUAGACAUUGCAGCGGUUUCACCUUGCGAUACACAUUGCAGCGGUUUCACAUCGCGAUACACAUUGCAGCGGUUUCACCUUGCGAAUCACAUUGCAAUGGUUUCACGUGACGAUUCACAUUGCAGCGGUUUCACAUUGCGAUUCACAUUGCAGUGGUUUCCUACUGAACAAUUGCAGAGAGAACUGUUUUUAACUUGUUGUGACUUUGUGUCGUUUUGUCUUUUUAAUUGAAAUUUCUAGAACAAAUCAGUAGUUAUCACUUAUCGGAGACAUACUGUGUGUGCUUUUAGUACUUAAGUGCUUUUACAUGACUAGCGAACAGUUGUUGACCCCGUGUCUGAUAUAGAUCAAUCACCUCUAUGUCUCUUCCGUCAUGUGACCUAUCAUGUGACUUUGUCCGGUCUUUCAUGUUGUCCUGAGUGAUAGUGAUAAUGGGAAAUGCUGGAAAAUGAGGGGGCAUCUCAAAUUUCAGACAUUAUACUUAUUCAAAGUAUCUUAAAGAUAAUGUAUUUAGUUUAUUUUAAUAUUAGAUAACUAGUGUAAAGAUAUUCUACAAAAGAUAUUUUUGGUGAGGAUAUAAAUUGCUCUAGUUAUAUUUACCGUUCUAAUAUGAUAGUCUGAAUUUGACAUGACCCCUCUAUUGCUUGUACAUAGAGUUGUAAGUUAUAGCCCUUUCACAUUGUUGUAUUGCACAUGAUGCAUGCAAAAUGCUGCUCCAUUUUACCACAGCCUAGAAUUUUCUCCUCAGAAUUUGUGCUUCCUGGAUAUAUAACCAGAAAAUUAUUCCAGAAAUUGGCAAAUAUUGCUGAGAGAAUUGUAGUCAUAAUCAUGAUAAACACAAACAUAAUAUUUCUAUUUUCACUUCUGUCUGCACUAUUUUUCUACCAUAAAAACUUUAACUCUACUUAUGCAUAUAUAUGUCACCUUGGCAUUGUUCUCAAAUCUUGUCUACAAAACAUUUGAUUUACUUUUGAUCCAGGUUAAAGCUUUUUUAACAUUAAGAUCAUGUUUUGUCGCCUUGAUACUCUAGAAUAUUCUUCAGAAUGAAAUUCUAAUAUUGAUAAAAAAAGAAAUUCGCACAAGUAAAAUCUCAAGAACAUUCCACUUCGAACCUAUGCCAUGAAAUGUCUCAGUAGGACGAAUCUUUUCCUAUUCUAACAGUUGUAUUCCUAAAUGUAUGGAAGCUCUAUCAGGGAAUAUACUCCAAUAGAGCCCACAUAUGCAAUAGUGGUCAGAAUUUGUGUUCUGCCUUGAUAAUUGCAACAGGGUAACGACAUAGCCACGGAAGUGACAUUUUGUACUGACUUUCUACUUCUGACAUGUCUCUGUAGGUUUCUGUUUCCACUUGCUGUGUAUGUCUCUUUGAUGUCCCAACUACAACGUUACUGGCAAAUUGUGAUGUACUUCCUAGUCAAUCACCUGCUCACUGAUCAACCCGGAGUUCUAUUGACAAAAUCUACUUCUCGUAUCGUACCACUAAGACAGUUCAUGCCAGGUGACCUGCAUGCUGAGCAAACACUUACCUGAGCUGAGGUGUGUCUCAUACUGAAUGGGCCUUUCCUUGAAUAAGGUGUGUCUCAUACUGAAUGAGCCUUUCCUUGAAUAAGGUGCAUCUCAUACUGAAUGAGCCUUUCCUUGAAAAAGGUGUGUCUCAUACUGAAUGAGCCUUUCCUUGAAUAAGGUGUAUCUCAUACUGAAUGGGCCUUUCCUUGAAUAAGGUGUGUCUUAUACUGAAUGAGCCUUUCCUUGAAUAAGGUGUAUCUCAUACUGAAUGGGCCUUUCCUUGAAUAAGGUGUGUCUCAUACUGAAUGGGCCUUUCCUUGAAUAAGGUGUGUCUCAUACUGAAUGAGCCUUUCCUUGAAUAAGGUGCAUCUCAUACUGAAUGAGCCUUUCCUUGAAAAAGGUGUGUCUCAUACUGAAUGAGCCUUUCCUUAAAUAAGGUGCAUUUCAUACUGAAUGAGCCUUUCCUUGAAUAAGGUGUGUCUUAUACUGAAUGAGCCUUUCCUUGAAUAAGGUGUGUCUCAUACUGAAUGGGCCUUUCCUUGAAUAAGGUGUGUCUCAUACUGAAUGGGCCUUUCCUUGAAUAAGGUGUGUCUCAUACUGAAUGAGCCUUUCCUUGAAUAAGGUGCAUCUCAUACUGAAUGGGCCUUUCCUUGAAAAAGGUGUGUCUCAUACUGAAUGAGCCUUUCCUUGAAUAGGGUGUGUCUUAUACUGAAUGAGCCUUUCCUUGAAUAAGGUGCGUCUCAUACCGAAAGAGACUUUAUUGAGCUCAGGAAUGUCUUGUAUUGAAGAGAUACAUUCCUGAGCUGAGACGUGUGACGUCCAAUACCAAAAAAGAACUUUCUGACAUGAGACGUGUCCUUAGUUUUUCUGUACAAAAUAAAUUAAUGUUCCAAUGGAAUUAAAAUUAAUUACUUGUUCAGGUUUGAAUAAUGAUACAUAAGAUCCUAAUUAUUCUAAUACACAACCAGAUUGAAGGAUAGGUUUCCAAGAGAAGUGGACAUUAGCUUCAGCUUGAGUUGUAUGAUGAGGAUUUGUUCAAGUCAAACGUGCAAAAUAACUUUGUGGUAGUCAGACUGCAUUGACCACAUGUACAGUCCACAUGACACUGGUAAUGUAGAUAUAUAAGGCAGGAUAACCAACAAGAAUCUGCAAUGCUGGGUUUCUCUAUACUCCGCCAUCACACAGUUUAGGGAAGAAUUGCACACAGCACAUCUUCAUGGCCCAAAGUGAUGACUGUGCUACAAGAUUUACCUCCCUUUGUCUGUUCAGACUUAUAAUUUCACACCCAAGUUUAAGGAACAUAUUACGGUAAUAAUCUACUAUGGAUCAGUACAGACAUACAAAUUGUCACUGAUUAGGUCACCAGUCUAUACUCUCUGUGACACAUAAGUUGGGCCAACUGUUUUCUGAAGUCCCUUAAAUGAUGUUUAUAUAUAGGGAUCAGUGCUAUUAGUGUGACUGAACAUGUGUUUGAGUCUUGUCAAGAAUAUUUUUGGGUUCUUAUUAAACAAAAUUGUUUGACAUACUUGGCUUGAAUUAUCUGCACUGGUUCAGUGGUAGAUGAGGUAAGUUAAUUCAAGUUUUCAUGGGUCUCGACAAGUCGUGUUUAGAAUUUUAUUUUAGAUUUUGUUGACAUUGUUUUAUUGUUAUCUUUACUGUUCGAGGGUGAGAUAAUAGAUUGUGACUUCAUUGUAUUGCCACAUGAUUCCUUUUUACACUUUUGAUAUUGAUUUCAAAAUAAUAAAUGUUAAAUAAUAUGAAUGCCAUCUCAUGAUCUAUUGAAUCAACUUUCUAUAUGCUAACGGUCUUCUUUCAAACUUCUGUAUUCAUAAACUAUAGAUUUCUUGCACAUUACGCUCUCCAUGAGUUCUUUAUUUGUAACAGUAAUACUUAUAAAUAACCAGUUAACAUGAAUUUCUCUAAAAUGGCACCACUGUCUCUUUAGAUGGCAUUAUUGCAUUAAAAAGUGCUUUAAAGGCACACUGAUGUUUAAUCAAGCUAUAAAACUAAAUGAACGUUAAUUCAUGCUGUCCAGUGCUGGAAUUAAAUGGUAUUUUUGCAUGUUCCCCAUUCCGUUGAUAGUAUCAUCGUCUCGUCCAAGUUGGUAUGGUGUGAGGUAAAGAGAGGGAUAAAAGAGUUUGUAAUUUUCUAUGAUGUAAAUAACUGCAGUAUAAUCUUGUCAUAUAUAAAUCCAUUUAAGCUUCAACAACCUACUAACAAAGAGAGUGGAUGUGAUGAUUUGUUCAACCAUGUAUUACAACCAACUACGUUAAACUAUUGUCCUGGCAAAGAGGGACCGAAAUGUAUGGGUGAUAUCUGCAGUAAGUUGGAACAAAUCGUGACUGGCUCUGAGAGACACCAGUGUGCUGGGUGCUAUGCCCACCAUGUAUAGUUGUCUGUUUGUUACUGUGUUGAUGUAGACGUCCUACUGCGGAACCAAGUGCAAUCUCUGAUCAGGUACACUGCUGCUGUUGCUGCCGUAGCCACCGAAGCUUACUGUGGUACGUCAGCCAGCUCUUGUACAGCUUGCUCCUAUAGCAAGGUCAGUCUCUUUUUAUGUAAUAAAAUGGCAUUAUGAA
rnacentral:misc_RNA from 1 species